rnacentral:rRNA from 1 species
AUUGAACGCUGGCGGCAGGCCUAACACAUGCAAGUCGAACGAGUGGCGGACGGGUGAGUAAUGUCUGGGAAACUGACUGAUGGAGGGGGAUAACUACUGGAAACGGUAGCUAAUAACGCCAACCAUCAGCUGUGCCCAGAUGGGAUUAGCUUGUUGGUGGGGUAACGGCUCCCCAAGGCGAAGAUCCCUAGCUGGUCUGAGAGGAUGACCAGUCACACGGGAACUGAGACACGGUCAAGACUCCUACGGGAGGCAGCAGUGGGGAAUAUUGCACAAGGGGCGCAAGCCUGAUGCAGCCAUGCCGAGUGUAUGAAGAGGGCCUUGGGGUGGUAAAGUACUUUCAGCGGAGAGGCGUUACCCGCAGAAGAAGCACCGGCUAACUCCGUACCAGCAGCCGCGGUAAUUC